GCGGGCGUGGUCCAACGGCAGCGACGCCGGUUUUUCACACCGGAGGAGAGGGUUCGACUCCCUUCGCCCGUA
rnacentral:tRNA from 1 species